rnacentral:miRNA from 1 species
AAAGGCUCAUACAAAUAUUCC